GAAAGGAGAGAAGGGUAUAGGGGAAAAGGGGGGAAAGAACUAUUUCUUCUUCUUCCUCCUUCACUCACGGGAUCCCUUACAACCUAUUUUCAUCAUAAUUUCCUCAUACGAUAACGAAAUCACAUGAGGUCGGAAGCUAUAGUUUCGUAGCGAAGCCGUGUUCAAUCUUAACAUACCCACCCCUUGAAAACCAACCAUUGUAUAAAGAAAACGAGGUCCAAACAUAUUGACGUGUUCCGGCGACUUUUCUCUGAUUUCGGGCAAUGCCGAUGGAAUCUGGCCUCGACCCAAGUGAAAAUAAUGAUUCUCCCUUGUGGGCUCUCCUCUAGCGAGUUGAAUCGGAACCGGGUAGUCAUGAUCGGUUGCAUAUAUAGGGAAGAACAUUGAAAUCCUAACCUCAAUUCGGUUCUCUUUAGAAAUUGAAGGGUUGGGUUUGUUUUAUAACUAUUAAUGUUAUUCCAUAAUCAAGGCCAGAUACAUUCGAACAUUUUGUAUGCCACAUUUGUCCUACCCAUGAAGAACAUUGCUGAAUUUGUAUGUGUUGUAGCCUAGAUUUGUGUAGAUAAUUAGAGUUCUAAAACUGCUGAGUGGUUCUAUAUUUUUCCAUGGCAUUGUUAGAUGCUGAUGCUAAAUACUUGAUUGGACAAUGCUAUUACUAGAGUAGUAUAUGAAUCAUAUAAGCACUACACCUUCAUAUGAA